UACGUAGGGAGCAAGCGUUGUCCGGAAUUAUUGGGCGUAAAGAGCUCGUAGGCGGUCUGUUGCGUCGGCUGUGAAAACCCGGGGCUCAACUCCGGGCCUGCAGCCGAUACGGGCAGACUAGAGUUCGGCAGGGGAGACUGGAAUUCCUGGUGUAGCGGUGAAAUGCGCAGAUAUCAGGAGGAACACCGGUGGCGAAGGCGGGUCUCUGGGCCGAUACUGACGCUGAGGAGCGAAAGCGUGGGGAGC
rnacentral:rRNA from 1 species